UCUUCAAUUGAAAUAUAAUUCUUCUUCAUUAGCUCCACAAGGACUGUUAAACAACAGGGAAUGCGAAUGGACUAAAUGAAAAACACGGAUCACAUCCUACACUUUAUUCUCUAGACAAUCAGGAAAACAUACUGCAAGCAUAGCCCUAUAUUAGUUUGUUGGUUCGGGGCCACUGGGCUCUUACCGUACUAACAUUUCAAAAUAAAAGCACAGCCUAUGAUUGAUGAUUAGGCAUGGCCCGGCCGCGGCCCCUCCCACCAUAGCUGUAGCCAUAGCUGUACCCCCUUCCAUAAGAUCCACGAGAACGACCACCACGUGGAAACCCACGGCCACCCCUACCUCCCCG
rnacentral:misc_RNA from 1 species